GGGCCCGCACAAGCGGUGGAUUAUGUGGAUUAAUUCGAUGCAACGCGAAAAACCUUACCUAGCCUUGACAUGUACCGAAUUUAGCAGAGAUGCUUUAGUGCUCGUAAGAGAACGGUAACACAGGUGCUGCAUGGCUGUCGUCAGCUCGUGUCGUGAGAUGUUGGGUUAAGUCCCGCAACGAGCGCAACCCUUGCCAUUAAUUGCCAUCAUUUAGUUGGGCACUUUAAUGGGACUGCCGGUGACAAACCGGAGGAAGGUGGGGAUGACGUCAAGUCCUCAUGGCCCUUAUGGCUAGGGCUUCACACGUAAUACAAUGGUCGGUACAGAGGGUCGCCAACCCGCAAGGGGGAGCCAAUCCCAGAAAGCCGAUCGUAGUCCGGAUUGUUGUCUGCAACUCGACAGCAUG
rnacentral:rRNA from 1 species